AUUACCGCGGCUGCUGGCACGGAGUUAGCCGGGGUUUCUUCUACUGCUACCGUCAUUAUCUUCACAGUUGAAAGAGCUUUACGACCCUAGGGCCUUCAUCACUCACGCGGCAUGGCUAGAUCAGGCUUUCGCCCAUUGUCUAAGAUUCCCCACUGCUGCCUCCCGUAGG
rnacentral:rRNA from 1 species